rfam:Aureococcus anophagefferens strain CCMP 1984 chloroplast, complete genome.
GCUAGUGUAGCUCAGUUGGUAGAGCAGCUGAUUUGUAAUCAGCCGGUCGGGAGUUCAAGUCUCUUCACUAGCU